GGGCGAGUGGCGGAACGGCAUACGCUGGGGACUUAAAAUCCCCUGGGCCCUGUGCCCUUGAGGGUUCAAAUCCCUCCUCGCCCACCA
rnacentral:tRNA from 1 species